rnacentral:rRNA from 1 species
GAAGCGUGGACGCCAGUCUGCGUGGAGCCAACCUUGAAAUACCACCCUUUAAUGUUUGAUGUUCUAACUCGGCCCCAUAAUCUGGGGUGAGGACAGUGUCUGGUGGGUAGUUUGACUGGGGCGGUCUCCUCCCAAAGAGUAACGGAGGAGCACGAAGGUUAGCUAAUCACGGUCGGACAUCGUGAGGUUAGUGCAAAGGCAUAAGCUAGCUUGACUGCGAGAGUGACGGCUCGAGCAGGUACGAAAGUAGGUCUUAGUGAUCCGGUGGUUCUGAAUGGAAGGGCCAUCGCUCAACGGAUAAAAGGUACUCCGGGGAUAACAGGCUGAUACCGCCCAAGAGUUCAUAUCGACGGCGGUGUUUGGCACCUCGAUGUCGGCUCAUCACAUCCUGGGGCUGAAGUAGGUCCCAAGGGUAUGGCUGUUCGCCAUUUAAAGUGGUACGCGAGCUGGGUUUAGAACGUCGUGAGACAGUUCGGUCCCUAUCUGCCGUGGGCGUUGGAAGAUUGAGAGGGGCUGCUCCUAGUACGAGAGGACCGGAGUGGACGCAUCACUGGUGUUCGGGUUGUCAUGCCAAUGGCAUUGCCCGGUAGCUAAAUGCGGAAAAGAUAAGCGCUGAAAGCAUCUAAGCGCGAAACUUGCCUCGAGAUGAGUCUUCCCUGGGGCUUUAAGCCCCCUGAAGGAACGUUAAAGACUAUGACGUUGAUAGGCUGGGUGUGUAAGUGCAGCGAUGCAUUGAGCUAACCAGUACUAAUGAUCCGUGAGGCUUAACCUU